CCUGAGUGUAGUCACUGCCAGGGAGUGGAGGAGAGGGACCCAGUCUCCCGCGGUGGCCACCCCAUCUGAUUCUCACUCCAGGCCACACAGGAUGUCCAGGCUUUGGGUGCCGGGCCCCUUCCUGCUGAGCCAGCAGAGCGUCCUUCCCGGCCUCCGGCCUCUCCUCCUCUCCGUCAACACCCACCCAAGUGACCAAGCAGCACACGUUUCCCCUGGAAUCCUAUAAGCACGAGCCUGAACGGUUAGAGAAUCGCAUCUAUGCCUCGUCUUCCCCUCCGGACACAGGGCAGAGGUUCUGCCCAUCUUCCUUCCAGAGCCCGACCAGGCCUCCACUGGCAUCACCG
rnacentral:lncRNA from 1 species